rnacentral:rRNA from 1 species
UGGCUCAGGAUGAACGCUGGCGGCGUGCCUAACACAUGCAAGUCGAACGAAGCACUGCGGAUGGAGAUUCGUCAAAAUCUGCUUUGACUUAGGUGGCGGACGGGUGAGUAAUGUGUGAGCAACCUGCCUUUCAGAGGGGGACAACAGUUGGAAACGACUGCUAAUACCGCAUAAUGUAUUGGAAGGGCAUCCUUUUGAUACUAAAGGAGCAAUCCGCUGAAAGAUGGGCUCACAUCUGAUUAGCUAGUUGGUGGGGUAACGGCCUACCAAGGCUGCGAUCAGUAGCCGGACUGAGAGGUUGAACGGCCACAUUGGGACUGAGAUACGGCCCAGACUCCUACGGGAGGCAGCAGUGGGGAAUAUUGGGCAAUGGGCGAAAGCCUCGACCCAGCAACGCCGCGUGAAGGAAGAAGGUCUUCGGAUUGUAAACUUCUUUUAUGAGGGACGAAGGACGUGACGGUACCUCAUGAAUAAGCCACGGCUAACUACGUGCCAGCCGCCGC